rnacentral:rRNA from 1 species
AUUGAACGCUGGCGGCAGGCCUAACACAUGCAAGUCGAGCGAGCGGCGGACGGGUGAGUAAUGUAUGGGGACUGCCCGAUAGAGGGGGAUAACUACUGGAAACGGUAGCUAAUACCGCAUACUAUCGGAUAACCCAUAUGGGAUUAGCUAGUAGGUGAGGUAAUGGCUCACCUAGGCGACGAUCCCUAGCUGGUCUGAGAGGAUGAUCAGCCACACUGGAACGGAGACACGGGCCAGACUCCUACGGAGGCAGCAGUGGGGAAGAUUGCACAAUGGGCGCAAGCCUGAUGCAGCCAUGCCGCGUGUAUGAAGAAGGCCCUCGGGUUGUAAAGUACUUUCAGUGGGGAGGCGUUACCGGCAGAAGAAGCACCGGCUAACUCCGUGCCAGCAGCCGCGGUAAUUC